AGCCACCGUGGAACUCCUUUGACUUUCAGGAAAGGCACUUUGAGCUGGAAAAUCAUAAUUUGGAGAAAACCAAUCUUUAUGAAAUCAAAAAAAAAAAAAAAGGAGCUGAGUAUUCACAGACUAGCUGAUGAUCCUUUCCAUACAUCUACUGCCUCAGAGUUUCAAGGGUGGGGGAUGUGGCGCUGGAGAAGCUGGACUUGGAGAAGUUCCCCCAGGUGCUUCCGACGCGCAGCCACGGCUAGCUGGGAACCACAGAUACACAGCCUACCAGCGCUCUUCGUCUCCAUAGCAACAGAGGCAGAAGCAGCAAGCAUUAACGGUGGCAUAAAGUAUUUAAGCUAAUAAACAUCUAUUUCUUCACAGAAUUUUCUUAGUGUCUUCUAGAUUUCUUUUUUCCUGCCAAGAAAAGCCUCUUGCCUGAAUUGACCUUUGUUUCCAAACUUUCCGUGUUUGGGGCUCUGUAAAAUCCUGUGCUCUCUUAUGUUAUUUAUUAUCACUGAUGAUGACAAUAAUAAAUAUCUCAAUACAUUUUCCAGAUAUUAUUUAAUUUUAUUUGUUCAAAUCAGGAAGUGUUCCCUUGACAACCAGGCUAUGCCCUUCUCCCUGGGUGGCAUGAUUCUGGUGUGAAAGGUAUAUGACACAAACUAGCCACAGAUUAUUUUUAAUUUAAACCACCAUUUCCAAGUAAUUUACAACCUACUCCAGACCUCUAUAUUUCUGU